CUUCGGGGUUCCUGGGUGUCACGCAGAUCUCGGUGGGACCUCCAAAUGAAAGAACUCAGUGGGGAAACCCCCACUCAGCUCCCGAUUCGGCGUGCACCCAAGAAUCACGAAUAGAACA
rnacentral:pre_miRNA from 7 species